GACGAACGCUGGCGGCGUGCUUAACACAUGCAAGUCGAACGAAGUGGCGAACGGGUGAGUAACGCGUAAUCAACCUGCCCUUCAGAGGGGGACAACAGUUGGAAACGACUGCUAAUACCGCAUACUGAAGGAGGGGAUUGCGUCGGAUUCGCUAGCUGGCGGGGUAACGGCCCACCAAGGCGAUGAUCAGUAGCCGGGCUGAGAGGAUGAACGGCCACAUUGGGACUGAGACACGGCCCAGACUCCUACGGGAGGCAGCAGUGGGGAAUCUUCCGCAAUGGACGAAAGUCUGACGGAGCAACGCCGCGUGAGUGAUGACGGCCUUCGGGUUGUAAAGCUCUGUUAAUCGGGACGCGUAACCGGAAUAGAAAGCCACGGCUAAAUACGUGCCAGCCGCCGCGGUAUAC
rnacentral:rRNA from 1 species